rnacentral:rRNA from 1 species
GAUGAACGCUGGCGGCGUGCCUAAUACAUGCAAGUCGAGCGAUCAGACGAGGAGCUUGCUCCUCUGACGUUAGCGGCGGACGGGUGAGUAACACGUGGAUAACCUACCUAUAAGACUGGGAUAACUUCGGGAAACCGGAGCUAAUACCGGAUAAUAUAUUGAACCGCAUGGUUCAAUAGUGACAGACGGUUUUGCUGUCACUUAUAGAUGGCUCCGCGCCGCAUUAGCUAGUUGGUAAGGUAACGGCUUACCAAGGCAACGAUGCGUAGCCGACCUGAGAGGGUGAUCGGCCACACUGGAACUGAGACACGGUCCAGACUCCUACGGGAGGCAGCAGUAGGGAAUCUUCCGCAAUGGGCGAAAGCCUGACGGAGCAACGCCGCGUGAGUGAUGAAGGUCUUCGGAUCGUAAAACUCUGUUAUUAGGGAAGAACAAAUGUGUAAGUAACUAUGCACGUCUUGACGGUACCUAAUCAGAAAGCCACGGCUAACUACGUG